GCAACAGAGUAAACUUAAACCUAGUAUCCAGACUCUGGAGUGCUCUGGGGCCAGUUAGGGAAGAGGAAGCCGUCUUUGGUCCAGAGUUUUGGAGAGGCCGGAGCCAACGCCCUUUACCCUCAGCCUCCCCGAUUACAGAGUUUAAUAGCGAGGAUCUUCCCUGAAGCUCGGCCUCUUAGGCUGGUUACAAGACCACAACCACACUCGGUGUGGCUCGGGAGCCCAGGGACCCCAUAAUUUCUUAGGGCGCAGGGGCCCAGCAUCCUUGUUUAUUACCUACAAGAAACAUUUACAAAUACUGGAGAUGGUGACUGAAAGAUGAAAGGAAAUUCUUCUCACCCAAGUCACUUCAUGAUGGCUCUCAAUAAAAAAAGAUAAGAAUUUUACCUGUAGCCAGGAUGCGGCACAUUCUAACACAGGAAUCCGACACACUGCCACUGCCAUUGAGACCAACUUUCCCAGUAAGACCAUUCGGCUAUCAUCUGCUUUGUUCCCUUGAGGACUGAAAAG